rnacentral:rRNA from 1 species
UACGUAGGAUCCGAGCGUUGUCCGGAGUUACUGGGCGUAAAGCGCGCGCAGGCGGCGGUGCUGGCCCGGCGUGAAAGCCCCCGGCUCAACCGGGGAGGGUCGUCGGGGACCGCACCGCUUGAGGGCGGUAGGGGCUGGUGGAAUGCCUGGUGUAGUGGUGAAAUGCGUAGAGAUCAGGCGGAACACCCGUGGCGAAGGCGGCCAGCUGGGCCGUCCCUGACGCUGAGGAGCGAAAGCAUGGGUAGCGAACAGG